rnacentral:rRNA from 1 species
AGAACGAACGCUGGCGGCAGGCCUAAUACAUGCAAGUCGAGCGCGUGUAGCAAUACACGAGCGGCGGACGGGUGAGUAACACGUGGGAACAUGCCUAUCGGUUCGGAAUAACGCAGGGAAACUUGCGCUAAUACCGAAUGCGCCGGAAACGGGAAAGAUUUAUCGCCGAUAGAUUGGCCCGCGUUGGAUUAGCUAGUUGGCGGGGUAACGGCCCACCAAGGCGACGAUCCAUAGCUGGUUUGAGAGAACGAUCAGCCACACUGGGACUGAGACACGGCCCAGACUCCUACGGGAGGCAGCAGUAGGGAAUCUUGGACAAUGGGGGAAACCCUGAUCCAGCCAUGCCGCGUGAGUGAUGAAGGCCUUCGGGUUGUAAAACUCUUUCGACGGGACGAUAAUGACGGUACCCGUAGAAGAAGCUCCGGCUAACUCGUGCCAGCAGCCGC